ACUCCUGCGGGAGGCAGCAGUGGGGAAUAUUGCACAAUGGGCGCAAGCCUGAUGCAGCCAUGCCGCGUGUAUGAAGAAGGCCUUCGGGUUGUAAAGUACUUUCAGCGGGGAGGAAGGCGAUAAGGUUAAUAACCUUGUUGAUUGACGUUACCCGCAGAAGAAGCACCGGCUAACUCCGUGCCAGCAGCCGCGGUAAUAAGGAGGGUGCAAGCGUUAAUCGGAAUUACUGGGCGUAAAGCGCACGCAGGCGGUCUGUCAAGUCGGAUGGGAAAUCCCCGGGCUCAACCUGGGAACUGCAUUCGAAACUGGCAGGCUAGAGUCUUGUAGAGGGGGGUAGAAUUCCAGGUGUAGCGGUGAAAUGCGUAGAGAUCUGGAGGAAUACCGGUGGCGAAGGCGGCCCCCUGGACAAAGACUGACGCUCAGGUGCGAAAGCGUGGGGAGCAAACAGGAUUAGAUACCCUUGUAGUCCCA
rnacentral:rRNA from 1 species